rnacentral:pre_miRNA from 21 species
GUUUUUCUCCUGGUGUUCACUGUAGGCCUGUAUGUUCUAUUGCGGAUUUCAUAAGGCACGCGGUGAAUGCCAAGAGCGAACGA